AAAGUAUUGCACUAUAUAGGGAAUGCCAUGUGGGACACAGUCUCAAUCAUGGCCGGAACAGUACAGGUUAUCUUUCAGGCUGCGUAGAGGACCAGGGGAAAGAACAGUACAGGUUAUCUUUCAGGCUGCAUAGAGGACCAGGGGAGAGAACAGUACAGGUUAUCUUUCAGGCUGCAUAGAGGACCAGGGGAGAGAACAGUACAGGUUAUCUUUCAGGCUGCGUAGAGGACCAGAAGAGAGAACAGUACAGGUUAUCUUUCAGGCUGCGUAGAGGACCAGGGGAGAGAACAGUACAGGUUAUCUUUCAGGCUGCGUAGAGGACCAGGGGAGAGAACAGUACAGGUUAUCUUUCAGGCUGCGUAGAGGACCAGGGGAGAGAACAGUACAGGUUAUCUUUCAGGCUGCGUAGAGGACCAGGGGAGAGAACAGUACAGGUUAUCUUUCAGGCUGCGUAGAGGACCAGAAGAGAGAACAGUACAGGUUAUCUUUCAGGCUGCGUAGAGGACCAGGGGAGAGAACAGUACAGGUUAUCUUUCAGGCUGCGUAGAGGACCAGGGGAGAGAACAGUACAGGUUAUCUUUCAGGCUGCGUAGAGGACCAGGGGAGAGAACAGUACAGGUUAUCUUUCAGGCUGCGUAGAGGACCAGAAGAGAGAACAGUACAGGUUAUCUUUCAGGCUGCGUAGAGGACCAGAAGAGAGAACAGUACAGGUUAUCUUUCAGGCUGCGUAGAGGACCAGAAGAGAGAACAGUACAGGUUAUCUUUCAGGCUGCGUAGAGGACCAGAAGAGAGAACAGUACAGGUUAUCUUUCAGGCUGCGUAGAGGACCAGAAGAGAGAACAGUACAGGUUAUCUUCCCUGUGUCCUGAUGUCUCUUUCUUGCUACAACAGAUGAAUAGGAACUCCUGCGUUGCUUCAUCCCCGUUCCCACAGGAGACCUUUUGCCUUUUGUAGGCCGUCAUUUUAAAUAAGAAUUUGUU